GCUAACGCGUUAAGUAGACCGCCUGGGGAGUACGGUCGCAAGAUUAAAACUCAAAUGAAUUGACGGGGGCCCGCACAAGCGGUGGAGCAUGUGGUUUAAUUCGAUGCAACGCGAAGAACCUUACCUACUCUUGACAUCCAGAGAAGCCAGCGGAGACGCAGGUGUGCCUUCGGGAGCUCUGAGACAGGUGCUGCAUGGCUGUCGUCAGCUCGUGUCGUGAG
rnacentral:rRNA from 1 species